GUUUCAGAUUCCAGCACUCUUCUGCCAGCUGAUAAAACUGUUCUCUUUACCAUAGAAAUCAUGUCUGCGUUCCACUGCCUGGCAAUUUCUACCCCAUUUUGCUUCCCUGCCCGCGCCUGUGGUCUAAGACUUGGAGUCCCAGGAAAAGAGGAUGAAGACGGAGUUCACUUCAGUCUGAAAUUUGUUUCCUGGAGGCAGUAGAGCAUUCCUCUGAUUUCUUGUUUCACUGAUUUAAUGGAUGAUCCCUUCCAGCCCAAUUCAAGUUUCCAAAUACAGACUCCAUUGGUCUAAUAUGAGGUUUACUCAUUGAUCAGUACAGUGAAGGUUGACAUGAACAUCCACUUUGCAUCAAAGGAUAUCCACGAAUUGGUGUGCUGAUGGCAAACAGAAGUUUCCAAGCAAGAUGGAACCUGGGAGGAACAAUACUCCCCCAGUGCUCAUGAUGUGUCUCCAGAAAAAAUUGUUUAACCAUUCUUUAAAAGAAAAUUCUUCCCCCUACAGUAUCUUCCAGACUCUAAACUACAGUAUAAGUUCACAGGUUCACUCAGAUCACUUCCAUGUCUGAGUUCUUGGUCAUCUUCCCACACUUUGGCUCCACAGAUAAAAAAUAAAUAAUAAUAAAGGAAUAACUUUUUUGUUUUUGCCUCAGUAAAUCAUUUUAGUGUUGAAACACCCUGGUGGAUUAAUUAGGCUUAUUCUUACAUUUCCUACCCCCAAGCACUUGUGCAGUGUUCCUGUUGGCACUGGCCUCAUUGGAAAGAGGAACACUUGCACUGCAGGCCUGGAUGUUGCUCUUGAAGCCUAUGAUUCUGUGGUAGCAUAAAUCUAGAAAAAGCUUAGUUUUUUUUUCAAUUGAUGGGGCAUAAGAGGAAACACAGAACCAUCUCUCCCUUACAUUUUAUGCCAGCUUUCAUUUAUUCUGGGCCAUACCUCUUUCCAGAGCAAUGUUUCUUGCUUAGUAUGAGAUUUGGUACCAUUAUAAAGAGACAUAGUACCUCUUGUAGGAGUUUAGAGAGUUUUAUCCAUGGAAUCAGAUGUGUCUCAAGAUGAUUAACUGAAUCCUGUGAAUAUGCUGCCUCUAGCUCACUGCAAACAACUGCUAUUUUUUAUCCUUGGUCAUUUCUCAUAACAGGGAGGAUUUUCAGUGUACAUUAUCUUAUCCUGGAAUUAAUUGUUUCAGUUUUCAUUGGUUGUUUUGGAUUGUAAUGAGAACAGUAGCAGCAAGAAAUCUGAAAGAAAGUGCUUUUGUUUGUUAAACUUCAAGAUCAAUGCAAAGUAGAUAUGCACAAACAUGUGCAAAGUUAUAUAAAAGAACAGAUCAAUUUCUCUGCAACAACAUUUGACUUAAACUAACUGAAGGCAUUAGCAUAUCCACAGAAAAAUAUUAGUCAUAAACGCAGAUAAAGGAAAGUAUAAAAUGAUUUUAAAACAACACAUUCAAAUUUAUUUUCGAGAAAAGGGAAAGAACUUCAUUCCACUGGACUUCAAUGCCAGUGACAGGGCCAAUCCUAUUGUGAAUGAAUAUCCAGCAAUUUAAACUUGAUACUACCAACCAUUCUAUCUAUAAAAAUACCUUCAAUCUGAAUCCAUGUUUUUUAAAUAUGCUGAUUAUUAUUUCGCUCUCAAAUUAGUUCUGCUCUUAGAAAACACACUAAUUACAGACAUUUCUAUACUAUUUAUAAUGGUAGUUACUUUAAAGUGAGCAAUGUCCCAGGCUUAAAUUGUUUAUUAUAAAGGAAUAACUUAAUUUCUGGUUCAAAACAUUAGUGAUUAUCAUGCAACUAUGUUGGAAAGAAGGAUAGCUUUUGGGCAUGCCAAUUAGAGUGACAAUUUUCAGUAGGAGAGGCAGAUUCAAGACUGUCGAGUCCAGCUCUUCCUUGUCAGUCUUUCCUGUGACAUAAAAAAAUCCAUAUAUAACUAUUUAAUUCUAAUUGUGGCAAGAAGUUAGUAGUUGAAGUAAAUUACUAUUGUUUAAACAGUAACUUUCCAACCUCAAAUACUAUCCACAAUGCAAUAACGUACACUUAGAAUACAGGGAUGGAGUCAAAAAAACCAAAUGAAUCCUGGGUUUACUACUUAGCUGUGAAAUCAUCGUAAUUUUUAAAGGCAUCAACUUUCUCUGCCUCAUAUUAUUAAAACCCUCAUAUAGGAAAUUAAGUGAGAUGAUUCACAUAAAGUGCUUAGCACUAUUCCCAGAUUAAGAAUGUCAAUACAGUGAAACAUCCUCUGGCUCCAGUUAAAAUAGCUAUUAUCAAAAAGGACAAAAAUAAGAAAUGUUAGCAAGGAUGCAGAGAAAGGAGAGAUAACUCUAAUACACUGUUGGUAGGAAUGUAAAUGAAUAUACCAGUUAUAGAAAACAAUAUGGGGAGUCCUCAGAAACCAGGUAUAGACUUGCCAUAUAAUCCAGCAGUCCCAUUACUGGAUAUACAGCCAAAGGAGCUAAAAUCAAUAUAUUGAAGAAAUAUUGGCACUUACAUGUUCAUUACAGCAUUCUUCAUAACUGCCAAGAUGUGGAAUCAACCUAACUGUCCACCAAUGGAUGAAUGAAUAAAUAAAAUGUCAUAUACAUACAUAUGCAGAAUGGAAUAGUAUUUAUUCAGCCACAAAAAAAUAAUAAAAUUCUUACAUUUGUAGCAACAUGGUUGCUAUGCUAAGUGAUAUAAGUCAAGCACAGAAAGCCAAUUCUACAUGUAUUCACUUACAAAUUGAAGCUAAAAAGUCAAUGUCAUAGAAAUAGAGAGUAGAAUUUUACUUACCAGAGCCUCAGGAGGGUAGGUGGAGGGGGGAUAGAGAGGUUACGGUUAGCAGAUAUGGGAGAGCAGUUGGAUAGGAGGAACAACUUCUAAUGUUCUAUAGCAUAGUAGGAAACUUGUGAUUGAAAACAGUUAAUUGCAUGUUUCAAAAUAGCUCCCAGAGAGGGUUUUUAAUAUUUGUAAAACAAAGAAAUGAUAAAUUUUAAGGUUAUAGAUAUGUCAGUUACCCUAUUACACAUUGUAUGCAUAUUGAAAUGUCACAUUUUACACCAUAUAUCUGUGUACAACUUUGUGCCAAUUAAAAAUAAAAUACAUUUUUAAAGAAAUUAGUAGAAAAUAAUGCUUUAAGUAUUUAUCACUGAGUGGUAAAAUUAUAAAGAUGAAAUAAUAAAUAUAAAUAUAAGGAUAUUAUAAUGAUAAUAAAGAUAAUAUUAUAAAGAUAAUAAAAAUUCAGGAUGGGAAGUUGAAGCAUGACUUUCAUAGAUACCAGUUGAACAUUUGAGCUCAUACAAUUUCUAGAGCUUAUUCUUACUCGAAUAUUUACUUUCCAUACAGUUAUCACCUUUGCUUUUAUCUGAAGUCACAGAUAUUCUUUCUGUCCCAUAUAAAUAUUUAUUAUUCAUAAUAUUAGAGGAAUAAAUUAAUGGAUGAGUGAUCUAGCCUCUCAUUAAUCUUAGUGGCUCAAUGCUGUCGUACAUUGGAUGUGACAUGGGAAUGAGUCUCUGCUCCAUUCAUUACAGUUCAGACAUUCAGGUACCUAGGAGUGACAGUGCCAUCUUUAGGGCCCUGGACUAUCCCAGUCCAUAUUCUGGAUUGGGUAGGGAAGGAAAAAAGUUUAUUAAGGAUCUUGAAGUAUUAUCCCUUACUUCCAUCAGCCUGGAGUCGAACACAUUGCCCAUAUAAUUGCAGGGAAAGUUUGGAAUGUUAUUUAGCUGUGUAUUUAGGAGCAAGUGGAAUGGAUUUGUUGAACAUUUAGCAGUAUGUCUUGGCAACCAACCCAAAAUAGCCACUGAUAAAAUUAAGUCUUGUGAUUCUUCUCUAAAUUUUCAUCAAUUGGUUAAAGAUUGUAAGAAACACUUGGCUACAAAAUUAAGUUUCAGAUAAUUUUAUAGAGCAAUAUAUUUUAUGUUAGAAAGUCAUUGUCAACAGUGGCAUCAAGGGAGGCUUUCUAGUGUCAGCCGAUAAGUUUUUGUUCCUCUGAAAUUCUCUUGGUAACUUUUGUAGAGCAUUUAUCCCACUUUAUUUCUACUUAAAGCUCAUAUAUGUAAAAGAGAUUAUAUCCUCAAAUGAGCAUUUCCCUUGCUUUUAUCAUCAUGUGUCAUUAUCCCUACAUUCUUUUAUUAUAGUUGUUAUUGAGAGCAUACUUGCUGAUUUAGCAUUGAGAUUAACUGUAAAAUAAGUAAAUAGCAAAUUGUUUCUUGGAAGUAUAAAAGUCAAUGCUUUUAAGAGAUUUUUUUCAUUGUUAUCUGCUAUUUCUAAGUGACUACAAUACUCAGAAAGAAGUGGAUGACAACCUUGGAUUGAAGAAUUUUGUUUCUACAAAGAAUUGCUGUAACAGUAAACUUCAUGUGCAGCGUUAGCUUUGCUAUGAUAUGCCAAUCAAUGUACAUCAUUUUUAGAAGUUCCACUUCACCGAAGAAAGUUGCUAUAUUAAAAUAAUAUUCUGCACAUGGAGAUCCAGGUUUUCCUGAAUAAAAGACCUCUGAUGUUUUCAUCAUGGUGGUUACUAAUGAUGGUAAAGGAAACUGAUUUAAAUUUCCUGCUUAUUUUACAUUUUACCUAACAAAUUGCAGAUGAUAAGAGAGUAUUCCACAAAAUACAUUUUGGCAAUUCCAAUAAUCUGAUGGAAACUGUACAUUAAUGAUUUCUUUUUUACUAAAAUAGUUUAAAUUAUAUUAAUACUAUUUUAUAAGGAAUAAAUUUUUCAAUUAUUUUCUCAUAUUUAAAAUGGUCUUAUAUCUUGAUAUUUUUACUAGAGAUCAAACUAUCCUUUAUCCACGAUUAACCAAAAGAGAUAUUUGUGAUAUGUAUUAAAGUAUUUUUUUUUUUGGUGGCACUGGAGAUUAAACCAAGGGCUGUCACAGUGAGUAAUGUCACUAGCUCUUUUUACAUAUUUUAUUUUGAGACAAUCUCACUAAGUUGCUAGGUUGACCAGCCUGGGUUUGAACUUGUGUCCCAGACUGCUGACAUUACAGGCAUUUGUUAACAUGCCUGGCUUACUAAAAUCCAUUCUAAAAUGAUAAUUUUAGUCAUUAAGUAAAGACAUUCUUUAGAUGAUUAUAUAUUCAUGUGUGUACUUGUUUUUAGUAGUUAAAGCAUUAAUUAAUACUUCUUAUAUGUAUUAUUGUCUUCUAACCACUUUUUGGUGUACUUUAUAAUGUAUUAUAAAAUUAACUUGCUGCAAAUUAAAAAUCAUUAGUGUUCAAAAUAACAUCAUAAUUUUAGUUUUUAUGUUAGCCUACCUGCUGCUUUUAUUAAAUAAAUAAAUGUCAAAAAUACCCACUUACAUAAUUUCUAUUACUGUAAAUGUAUAUUAGUUACUUGAAUAAAUCUGUG
ensembl:lncRNA